GACUUAUUAAUAAGAUAGAUUUUAUAAUUAUGUUUUGAAAACAUUGAAUAAGGCUGAGCCUUUAUAGUUG
rnacentral:tRNA from 1 species